UAAUUUUAAAAGUCACACCUUCUCCAAACA
rnacentral:piRNA from 1 species